UGGGGAAUAUUGGACAAUGGGCGCAAGCCUGAUCCAGCAAUGCCGCGUGUGUGAAGAAGGCCUUCGGGUUGUAAAGCACUUUUGUUAGGGAGGAAAGUCUGGUAGCUAAUAACUGCUAGAUCUGACGUUACCUAAAGAAUCAGCACCGGCUAACUCUGUGCCAGCAGCCGCGGUAAUACAGAGGGUGCAAGCGUUAAUCGGAAUUACUGGGCGUAAAGGGUCUGUAGGCGGAUUAUUAAGUCGGAUGUGAAAUCCCCGGGCUCAACCUGGGAACGGCAUUCGAUACUGGUAGUCUAGAGUGUGCAAGAGGAUGGGGGAAUUCCUGGUGUAGCAGUGAAAUGCGUAGAUAUCAGGAGGAACAUCAAUGGCGAAGGCACCUUUCUGGGGCAACACUGACGCUGAGAGACGAAAGCGUGGGGAGCAAACA
rnacentral:rRNA from 1 species